rnacentral:rRNA from 1 species
GUCAGGAAUAUUGCGCAAUGGAGGAAACUCUGACGCAGCGACGCCGCGUGGGUGAUGAAGGCCUUCGGGUCGUAAAGCCCUGUCGGAGGGGAAGAAAAGCCUGCUGGCUAAUAUCCAGCGGGCCUUUGACGGUACCCUCAAAGGAAGCACCGGCUAACUCCGUGCCAGCAGCCGCGGUAAGACGGAGGGUGCAAGCGUUGUUCGGAUUGACUGGGCGUAAAGGGCGUGUAGGCGGUUGCCCAAGUCCGAUGUGAAAGCCCGGGGCUUAGCCUCGGAAGUGCAUCGGAAACUAGGCAGCUGGAGCGCGAUAGAGGAGGGUAGAAUUCCUGGUGUAGCGGUGAAAUGCGUAGAUAUCAGGAGGAAUACCGGCGGCGAAGGCGGCCCUCUGGAUCGUUGCUGACGCUGAGACGCGAAAGCGUGGGGAGCAAACAGGAUUAGAAACCCUUGUAGUCC